rnacentral:rRNA from 1 species
AAGCUCGUAGUUGAAUUUCGGGAUUGGGAUAUAUUGGUCGUGCUUUUAGGGGCAUGAAUCGGUGUGUAGCCAAUUUCUUACCUUCUGGUGGAUUGGGAUGCUUCUUAAUUGGGUGUUUCAAUGAACUAGGACCUUUACUUUGAAAAAAUUAGAGUGUUUAAAGCAGGCAUACGCUUGAAUAUAUUAGCAUGGAAUAAUGAAAUAGGACGGCUUGGUUCUAUUUCGUUGGUUUCUAGGAUCACCGUAAUGAUUAAUAGGGAUAGUUGGG